rnacentral:tRNA from 1 species
GGCGAGAUAGCUCAGUCGGUAGAGCGAGGGACUGAAAAUCCCUGCGUCCACAGUUCAAUUCUGUGUCUCGCCA